UACGUAGGGGGCAAGCGUUGUCCGGAUUUACUGGGCGUAAAGAGCGCGUAGGCGGAAACGCCAGUCCGGCUUGAAAGCCCCCGGCUCAACCGGGGAGAGUGGCUGGAACUGCGUUUCUUGAGGGCGAGAGAGGAGGGUGGAAGUUCCUGGUGUAGCGGUGAAAUGCGUAGAGAUCGGGAGGAAGGCCGGUGGCGAAGGCGGCGCUCUGGAACAUUUCUGACGCUGAGGCUCGGAAAGCGUGGGGAGCAAACAGG
rnacentral:rRNA from 1 species